rnacentral:tRNA from 1 species
GGAAGGUUGGCCGAGUGGUAAAGCAGCGGGUUGCUAACCCGUAGGGGAUAAAACCUCCGGGGGUUCGAGUCCCUCACCUUCCGCCA